CCUCAGGAAAACAGCCAAUACAAUCAAGCACCACUCACACCCUGGUCAUUCCCACCUCCUCUCUC